rnacentral:rRNA from 1 species
UUAAGCGACUAAGCGUACACGGUGGAUGCCCUGGCAGUCAGAGGCGAUGAAGGGCGUGCUAAUCUGCGAUAAGCGCCGGUAAGGUGAUAUGAACCGUUAUAACCGGCGAUACCCGAAUGGGGAAACCCAGUGUGACUCGUCACACUAUCAUUAACUGAAUCCAUAGGUUAAUGAGGCGAACCGGGGGAACUGAAACAUCUAAGUACCCCGAGGAAAAGAAAUCAACCGAGAUUCCCCCAGUAGCGGCGAGCGAACGGGGAGGAGCCCAGAGCCUGAAUCAGCAUGUGUGUUAGUGGAAGCGUCUGGAAAGGCGCGCGAUACAGGGUGACAGCCCCGUACACAAAAGCGCAUGUGCUGUGAGCUCGAUGAGUAGGGCGGGACACGUGGUAUCCUGUCUGAAUAUGGGGGGGACCAUCCUCCAAGGCUAAAUACUCCUGACUGACCGAUAGUGAACCAGUACCGUGAGGGAAAGGCGAAAAGAACCCCGGCGAGGGGAGUGAAAAAGAACCUGAAACCGUGUACGUACAAGCAGUGGGAGCCCCACCACUAAGCCAGUGGUGAACUCCACAUACGCAUCCUUUGCUGAGGAUACGGUUAACGGAGCGAAAGCGACGUUCAACCGCAAAAGAAGCAGAGGGGGCUUAGUGGUGGGGUGACUGCGUACCUUUUGUAUAAUGGGUCAGCGACUUAUAUUCUGUAGCAAGGUUAACCGAAUAGGGGAGCCGGAGGGAAACCGAGUCUUAAUUGGGCGUUAAGUUGCAGGGUAUAGACCCGAAACCCGGUGAUCUAGCCAUGGGCAGGUUGAAGGUUGGGUAACACUAACUGGAGGACCGAACCGACUAAUGUUGAAAAAUUAGCGGAUGACCUGUGGCUGGGGGUGAAAGGCCAAUCAAACCGGGAGAUAGCUGGUUCUCCCCGAAAGCUAUUUAGGUAGCGCCUCGUGAAUUCAUCUCCGGGGGUAGAGCACUGUUUCGGCUAGGGGGCCAUCCCGGCUUACCAACCCGAUGCAAACUGCGAAUACCGGAGAAUGUUAUCACGGGAGACACACGGCGGGUGCUAACGUCCGUCGUGAAGAGGGAAACAACCCAGACCGCCAGCUAAGGUCCCAAAGUCAUGGUUAAGUGGGAAACGAUGUGGGAAGGCCCAGACAGCCAGGAUGUUGGCUUAGAAGCAGCCAUCAUUUAAAGAAAGCGUAAUAGCUCACUGGUCGAGUCGGCCUGCGCGGAAGAUGUAACGGGGCUAAACCAUGCACCGAAGCUGCGGCAGCGACACUGUGUGUUGUUGGGUAGGGGAGCGUUCUGUAAGCCUGUGAAGGUGUGUCGUGAGGCAUGCUGGAGGUAUCAGAAGUGCGAAUGCUGACAUAAGUAACGAUAAAGCGGGUGAAAAGCCCGCUCGCCGGAAGACCAAGGGUUCCUGUCCAACGUUAAUCGGGGCAGGGUGAGUCGACCCCUAAGGCGAGGCCGAAAGGCGUAGUCGAUGGGAAACGGGUUAAUAUUCCCGUACUUGGUGUUACUGCGAAGGGGGGACGGAGAAGGCUAUGUUGGCCGGGCGACGGUUGUCCCGGUUUAAGCGUGUAGGUGUGUGUUCCAGGUAAAUCCGGUUCACUUUAACACUGAGGCGUGACGACGAGGCACUACGGUGCUGAAGCAACAAAUGCCCUGCUUCCAGGAAAAGCCUCUAAGCAUCAGGUAACAUCAAAUCGUACCCCAAACCGACACAGGUGGUCAGGUAGAGAAUACCAAGGCGCUUGAGAGAACUCGGGUGAAGGAACUAGGCAAAAUGGUGCCGUAACUUCGGGAGAAGGCACGCUGACACGUAGGUGAAGUGAUUUACUCAUGGAGCUGAAGUCAGUCGAAGAUACCAGCUGGCUGCAACUGUUUAUUAAAAACACAGCACUGUGCAAACACGAAAGUGGACGUAUACGGUGUGACGCCUGCCCGGUGCCGGAAGGUUAAUUGAUGGGGUCAGCGCAAGCGAAGCUCCUGAUCGAAGCCCCGGUAAACGGCGGCCGUAACUAUAACGGUCCUAAGGUAGCGAAAUUCCUUGUCGGGUAAGUUCCGACCUGCACGAAUGGCGUAAUGAUGGCCAGGCUGUCUCCACCCGAGACUCAGUGAAAUUGAACUCGCUGUGAAGAUGCAGUGUACCCGCGGCAAGACGGAAAGACCCCGUGAACCUUUACUAUAGCUUGACACUGAACAUUGAGCCUUGAUGUGUAGGAUAGGUGGGAGGCUUUGAAGUGUGGACGCCAGUCUGCAUGGAGCCGACCUUGAAAUACCACCCUUUAAUGUUUGAUGUUCUAACGUGGACCCGUUACCCGGGUUGCGGACAGUGUCUGGUGGGUAGUUUGACUGGGGCGGUCUCCUCCUAAAGAGUAACGGAGGAGCACGAAGGUUGGCUAAUCCUGGUCGGACAUCAGGAGGUUAGUGCAAUGGCAUAAGCCAGCUUGACUGCGAGCGUGACGGCGCGAGCAGGUGCGAAAGCAGGUCAUAGUGAUCCGGUGGUUCUGAAUGGAAGGGCCAUCGCUCAACGGAUAAAAGGUACUCCGGGGAUAACAGGCUGAUACCGCCCAAGAGUUCAUAUCGACGGCGGUGUUUGGCACCUCGAUGUCGGCUCAUCACAUCCUGGGGCUGAAGUAGGUCCCAAGGGUAUGGCUGUUCGCCAUUUAAAGUGGUACGCGAGCUGGGUUUAGAACGUCGUGAGACAGUUCGGUCCCUAUCUGCCGUGGGCGCUGGAGAACUGAGGGGGGCUGCUCCUAGUACGAGAGGACCGGAGUGGACGCAUCACUGGUGUUCGGGUUGUCAUGCCAAUGGCACUGCCCGGUAGCUAAAUGCGGAAGAGAUAAGUGCUGAAAGCAUCUAAGCACGAAACUUGCCCCGAGAUGAGUUCUCCCUGAGACUUAGAGUCUCCUGAAGGAACGUUGAAGACGACGACGUUGAUAGGCCGGGUGUGUAAGCGCAGCGAUGCGUUGAGCUAACCGGUACUAAUGAACCGUGAGGCUUAACCUU